AUUGAACGCUGGCGGCAGGCCUAACACACGCAAGUCGAGCGGGGUUUUCGGACCUAGCGGCGGACGGGUGAGUAAUGCGUAGGAAGCUGCCCGAUAGAGGGGGAUACCAGUUGGAAACGACUGUUAAUACCGCAUAAUGUCUACGGACCAAAGUGUGGGACCUUCGGGCCGCAUGCUAUCGGAUGCGCCUACGUGGGAUUAGCUAGUUGGUGAGGUAAUGGCUCACCAAGGCGACGAUCUCUAGCUGGUUUGAGAGGAUGAUCAGCCACACUGGAACUGAGACACGGUCCAGACUCCUACGGGAGGCAGCAGUGGGGAAUAUUGGACAAUGGGCGCAAGCCUGAUCCAGCCAUGCCGCGUGUGUGAAGAAGGCCUUCGGGUUGUAAAGCACUUUCAGCGAGGAGGAAGGGUUAGUCGUUAAUAGCGGCUAAUUUUGACGUUACUCGCAGAAGAAGCACCGGCUAACUCUGUGCCAGCAGCCGCCGUAAUAC
rnacentral:rRNA from 1 species